rnacentral:rRNA from 1 species
GACGUAGGGGGCGAGCGUUGUCCGGAUUUAUUGGGCGUAAAGGGCUCGUAGGCGGUUUGUCGCGUCGGGAGUGAAAACCUCGGGCUUAACUCGGGGCUUGCUUUCGAUACGGGCAGACUGGAGGUAUGCAGGGGAGAACGGAAUUCCUGGUGUAGCGGUGAAAUGCGCAGAUAUCAGGAGGAACACCGGUGGCGAAGGCGGUUCUCUGGGCAUGACCUGACGCUGAGGAGCGAAAGUGUGGGGAGCGAACAGG